rnacentral:lncRNA from 1 species
GGCCUCUAGCACGACCUCGCCCUCUGCCCCUCAUGGGAACUGCUGCUGGGGGCUCGUGCUGCUGAGCGGAGGAUGAGGAAGCGCGUGUUCUCUCCAUCUGCGAAAGAACAGAGUAGAAGUUCAAUUAGCAUUGAGAAACAAAAUUGCACGACGAGAAAGAAUGAAUGUGAAAUUUUUCCUAACUUUAUAGCCUCUGAGGGAUAAAUAAAGACGUCUCUAUACUGAUCCCUCAGACUCUACUAAGCUUGUCUGUGAACUGUGAGACCUAUGCAACCUAGAGUUCUGAUACCAACUUGUCACGACCCGAAUUUCCUACCCUCGGGAGUCGUGAUGGCGCCUACUAAUGGGAGAUAGGCAAGCCAACCUUAACUAAUUGCUACACUUUCAUUUUUUUUGCUUUCUUUUAACAAACACAAGUCGAUAAUAUGAUAAAAGUGGAAUUUUAAAUAAAUAAGCGGAAGUCAACAACUACAUAUCUUAAGGCUACGUCUAUUACAACUUUUAAAACCUCAAAUACCCCAAAACCUGGUGUCACAGAGUCACAGACUGUCUAAGAGUUACUACAUACAAGGUCUAAAAAAAAUACAAUACACUGUUUCUGAACAAAAGGAAAUGAAAUAGGAAAUAGAGAUAGAGGGAGGCGCCAGGGCCUGCAGACGCCUGCAGGUCUACCUUGGGUCUCCGGGUGGACUGAAGGAAGCACUCCAACUACUGUCCGAAAAUUGCUCCUGAAUCUACACACAGUGUAGAGUGUAGUAUCAGCACAACCGACCCUAUGUGCUGGUAAGUGUCUAGCCUACCCUUGGCGAAGUAGUGACGAGGCUAGGACCAGACUACCGAAUAAACCUGUGCAGUUCAUACAUACAUAUAUAUAUAUAUAUAUAUAUAUAUACAGCGGAAAAGAAAUACAGAAAUAACCAGUCAACGUGGGAGGGGGAAACAUAUUGUGGGGGAGAUAUUAGCUUCGAAUAGAAAGGCAUCAGGUAAGGAAAGAAACAACAUAACUAGAAUAUCAACAAGGAAGCAAAAAUCAACAAUAGCCCGACAAGGAUGACAACAUAAUGAUCUCAUCUCUUUCUCAAUUUUUACUUCACAAUUCACUUCACAACUCGAGCCAAUACUCUAGAGGUUCGAUUAUCACUUAUACUUUCACAAUUUAUUUCACAACUCGAGCCAAUGCUCCUCAAUGUUCAUAGGUCACAAUUCUUUCCACAAACUUUAUACAACGAUUAGAAAUAUUCAUCAAGGCAUGAAUAAUAUAACGAAAUCAUGAAAAUCACAAUAUAAGACUCACAGUCAUGCUUGACACCAACGUAUAGAUACUCGUUACCAUGCCUAUACGUCGUACUCGACAAGAAGCAAAUAGCAAAUAGGACACAACUCCUAAUCCCUCAAGCUAAGGUUAGACUAAACACUUACCCCGAUGCCUCGAACACAACUCAAGUUUCAAUUAUAGCUUUACCCCUUGAUUUAACUACCAAUUCGCUCGUAUCUAGCCACAAGUUACUUAAUUACAUCAAUAAAUGCUAAAUGAAUCAAUUCUAAUGCAUGAAAAUAGGUUUUAUAAAGAUUUUCCCAAAAAGUCAAAAAUCGACCCCGGACCCGCUUUGUCCAAACCCGAAAUUCGGACCUAAACCCGAUUACGCAUUCCCCCACGAGCUCAAAUAUGUAAUUUGUUUUGAAAUCAGACCCCAAAUCAAGGUCCAAAUCCCCACUUUUUUGAAAAACCUAGGUCCUACCCAAAACACCCAAUUCCCCCAUGAAAAUAAUUGAUUUGAAGUUGAAAUCAUGUUAAAAGAUGCUAAUGAUUGAAGAAAACUAGUUAAAAAUGACUUACAAUUGAUUUAGAGAAGAAAUGUUGUUUGAAAAAUCGCCUCUUAUGUUUUUGGGGUUUUGAAAAAUGAAAAUAACUGGAAAUCCCGUCUAUUUAUACCCCUCUCAGACCCUCUCCGCAGACCGCAUAAAAAGGACUACGGCCGCGGAGAUCCACCGCGAACCGCAUAAAACGGACUGCGACGGUGGAGCUCCACUGCGGACCAUAAGAAAUCGAGCGCGGCCACGGAGGCUUGGCCUUGCUCACCGCGGAUCGCACAAACCCCACCGCGGUCGCGGACCGCACAAACCCCACCGCGGUCGCGGAGUCCCCACCGCGGCCGCGAAGUUUCCACCGCGGACCGCGAGACUUGACUCUAGAGACCUGUAACUUCUCUGAAUCUGCAACUUUUUCCUAAGUUCAAAACUUGCCGAAACACAUCUGAAACACACUCGAGCCCUCGGGACUCCUAACCAAACACAUGUACUAACUCAACAAUGUCAUACGAACUUAUUCGUGUGAUCAAAUUGCCAAAAUAACCUCAAUAACAAUGAAUCAAACCUCAAAAUCAAGAACUUUUUUCUCAACUUCAUCAAGUAUAAAAUUUAGCAAUUUAGGUCGGAAUUACGUCAAACGACGCCCGUUUUCAACCAAACUUUACAGAAAUGACUUAAACCAUAUAUAAGACCUGUACUGGGCGCCGGAACCAUCUCUUUCUAAUCAAAUUUCAUUUCAAAUUUUCAUAAAAAUUUUCAAAAAACAAUUUCCUUUAAAAAAUUCAUUUCUCGGGCUCGGGACUUCGGAAUUCAAUUCCGGGCAUACGCCCAAGUCCCAUAUUUUCCUACGGACCCUCCGGGACCGUCAAAUCACAGAUCCGGGUCCGUUUACCCAAAAUAUUAACCGAAGUCAAAUUUAUUCAUUUUACAGUCAAAACUUAUCAUUUUUCACUAAAUUUCAUAUUUAAACUUUCCGGCUAUGCGCCCAGACUGCGCAUGCAAAUCAAGAUGACUCUAAAUGAGGUUUUCAUGGCUUCAGAACACGGAAGUUUCAUUUUAAAACAAGUGAUGACCUUUUGGGUCAUCACACAGUCGACCACCCGGACAACAUUCCAUAAGUAGGAAAAUCAUUUAUAGUCCACAUCAAAGCAGCAUGCAAUCUGAAGUUUUGUUUGGUUGAUAUAUCAUAUGUUUCCAUACCUUGAUGCCAUAAUAAUUGUAACUCAUCAAUCAAAUGCUGCAAGUAUACAUCAAUCAAACUUUUCGGAUUGCGUGAACCUGGAACAAUACAAGUUAGGAACAAAUAUGGACUUGUCAUGCACAACUCUGGCGGAAGAUUAUAUGGAGUAACAAACACCGGCCAACAUGAAUAUGGGGCAGCAGAGACAGCAAAUGGAGUAAAUCCAUCUGUGCAUAAUCCCAACCUAAUGUUUCUUGGUUAACUAGAAAACUCGGGGAACACCCUAUCAAAAUGCUUCCAUGCUUCUCCAUCUGACGGAUGGCAGAGUAUGCCAGGUGGCCUUCUAUGUUCGUAGUACCAUCUCAUAUGAGGAGCAAAGCUCAUUGAUGCAUACAACCUCUUUAACCUAGGUAUAAGAGGUAAGUAAUACAUCGCUUUAACUGGAACUUUCUUUUUUGUAUUAGCAUUUGUGACUUCCUUAAAACGAGGUUGAUUACAAAAUUUACAGUUCUCUAGAGAUGCGUCAUCCUUAUAGAAUAAUAUGCAACCUUUCUCACAACAAUCAAUUCUCUCUGAUGAAAGACCCAACUUAAAAACCAAUUUUUUAGCAGUGUAGAAAUCUUUUGGUAAGUCAAUGUUACUCGGAUUAAGUUCAUUCAUAAGCCCAAUAAUAGAAUCCAUGCUCGCUUGGGAAAUAGAACUAUCCGAUUUAAUACUUAGCAAUCUAACCGCAACAGACAACUUGGAAUGCACCGAGCCUUCUGUCACACCUCCUUUUUCCGCCCCCGCGAGGGGUGCAAGGGAGUUUUUCAAAAUUGCACACCAAGGAAAAUCAUUUUAUUUUGCAUUUUUUGGGAGUAUUUCUCAUAUAGGGCAAAAAUCACGUGCUUACACCUUCAUACAAUGGACAACUAGCUUCUAGUAACUGUUCAUAGAAACGCUUGGCCUCAUCAUUUGGUUCGGAUUGAACCCCAGGAAACGUCCCAAAAGCAUUCCUCAUCAUUUCAUUGUCUCGAGAAUUUUCAACAUUACGCUCUGAAAUGGGACUACCCUCACCACCAAAAGAAUUAUGAAAGUUAGCAUCAUCUAAACUAGCAUGAUUCUCCCCGUGAGCAGUUCAUAUAUAAUAAUUUUCUACAAACCCUUUCUUGUAGAGAUGGACUUUAAUUUCGUCUGAUUUCAAUAACUUAACACAUUUACAUUUCACACAAGGACACCUAAUCCUUCCUCCAAUAAGAAAAUCAUCAAGUGUGUAAGCCUUCGUAAUAAAUUCAUCAACCCCUUCAAUAAAUUCAUCCCUCAACCCCGCACGAUUAGGAUGAUUCCUAUUAUACAUCCAUCUACGAUGCACAAAUUCCAUCUACACAAAUAGAAAUCUAUAAAUGAGAUAUUUAAAAUAAUUUAAUUUAUUUAAACUAGUUAUUUAAUACUCGAAAUCUCACAUUAAUCCCUAUUCUAAAUAAUAUAAGUCUUUAAAUAUAUUAAUUAAAUUUAGAUAGCUUCUUAAAUGUUCAUGUAAUCCAAAUUAAUUAAUGAUUUCUCAACAAAAGAGAUAGUCGUAGCUAACAAUCUUGAAAUUCAAUCUGGAAUUGUAAUAUAGGGGUACUAUAUUAUUUUCAGUAACGAAAAAGUCACUUAGUUUUGUUAAGUAUUAAGGAAAGACACUAUUUUUAUAAUAAAAUAAUCAACUAAUUAAUAUUAUUUUUAUAACAAAAAAGUCAACUAAUUAAUACCAUUUUUAUAACAAAAAAGUCAACUAAUUAAUGUUACUUAAGUAUCACAAAAAUAUUUCUUUUAUUUCCUCCUAGUGAUUGUGAUUAAAUUACCAUUGAAAAGUUAAAAUAUGACAAAAGUUUAGCAUAGUGAGUAUAUCUUGAAUAUAUUGGGAUCUAAUUGAGAGGAGAGAAUAUCUAACAAUGGUCAAGUUUCAUAUAGCAAACCAAUAAAUGUAUGAUAUUCAUAAAAUGUUUAUUAUUUUACCUACUCACAUGAUGAUAUAUACGUUUAUAUUCGUAUAUAUUCCUUAAUCAUGAAUUUACACGAAUAAACAAUAGUCCUUAUUUUUCAUUUACCUAAAUAUAUUUGAUUAAACAUAUAGUUUAAAGAAGAUAAAUUUUUUUUGAAACUUGAGAUAUUAAAGAUUCCAUAGUUGGUAUUUGCUUUGUCUUUAAAUAAAAUUUUGACAUCAUGUCAAUUUAAUCAAAGCUUGAAACCAGGAAAAGAAAAAAAAGAACCUUUUGAUCAACAGAAUGCUAUUCUCCUCUCUCAUCACCUCUCAACAUGAACUUUCUUAUCAAUAGGAUAGUAACUUAAAUAAUCGCAAAAAUGAGUAGACAAGAUGCUAAACAUUCCACUAAAACGGAGCAAUAGAGAAUCAACUAGAGCAUUCAAAACAGAAUAAAUAAAACUCUUAACUUUCACAAACGGAUCAACAAAAUACCUCACUCCUUUUGAAAUAGAAUGAAAAUUAAAUAGUAUCACAUAUAUAAAUUGAAAUAGAGAGAGUUGAAUUAAGGUUAUUCCAUAAUUGGGAAGAGUGAACGAAUAGAUUUUGUCUGUGUUUAAAAAUUAGCAAAGAGAUAUAUAGCUGAAGUUCCACGUGGUAUACAAUACCAGGGCAGGCAAGCUCUGAACCAUAAGGUUUAUACUUGAAAUUCAAUCUGGAAUUGUAAGUUAUUUAACCAAAAAAAAGAAGACUAGAAAGAGAAAUACAAGCAAAACGUGAAAAAUGAACUCUUAAUUUUCUUAUUAGUACUAAUUAGACGGGAAAAUAAAAUUAGAGACACAAAUCUGAUGUGAUUUAAUAAAAAUUUUAAACAGUCAAAGAGAACUUACCGGGCAGUGGAGACGGAGCUUCAGCGGGUUGGUGGCAGUGGAGACGGAAUCUCGACGGAGCUUCAGCGGUGCCGCUGGUUGGUGGCAACGGUGGGUUUGGGUGGGGGAAGUUUGAGUGAGAGAGAGAAGAGAGAAGG